rnacentral:lncRNA from 1 species
AUUUCUCCAAUCCAGGAGAACUACAGAACUAUCGUAUCCUCACCAGUACCCAGACGGGAAUCUCUCAGGCAUCCCUGGGGUUCCCCCAGACCUCCUGGGAUGUCUCCCAGGGCAGCACAAUUGGUGAGCUCCUGGCACGUCUACCGCUCACACUCAUCAUCUUUCCUGAGAUGUGAGCCUCUGUCUCUACCGGAGAUGCAAGCAGCUGCAAAACCAGAACUUGUGAGCAAAUACAGACCCAGAAUUCAGCCAGCACAAAAACACAAAGACACAGACAAUAUCUCAUCUCCAAGUGGAUCUCCGAAGACAAGGGUGGUUGCCAAUCCCGUACAAGCCCCCAAAUGAAAGACCCCUGGAGCAGGGAGACCCUCACUCAAGUGUCAGGAUGACACAACACCCCAAGAACUCACGUGAGACUGUCUGUGCUGUAAUCAUAGAGGUUUAUUGAUAGGAACCAGGGCACUGGGGUCGAGACUUGUAUCCCAUGCAGGGGUAAAGGAGUUCAAUCCUGAAUAGCU